GUGGGGAAUCUUCCGCAAUGGACGAAAGUCUGACGGAGCAACGCCGCGUGAGUGAAGAAGGUUUUCGGAUCGUAAAGCUCUUUCGUCAGGGACGAACGUAUUUCUUGUAAAUAAUGAGAGAUAGUGACGGUACCUGAAUAAGAAGCCACGGCUAACUACGUGCCAGCAGCCGCGGUAAUACGUAGGUGGCAAGCGUUGUCCGGAAUUAUUGGGCGUAAAGCGCGCGCAGGCGGGAUAUCAAGUCUGUCUUAAAAGUGCGAGGCUCAACCUCGUGAGGGGACAGAAACUGGUAUUCUUGAGUGUCGGAGAGGAAAGUGGAAUUCCAAGUGUAGCGGUGAAAUGCGUAGAGAUUUGGAAGAACACCAGUGGCGAAGGCGACUUUCUGGACGAUGUCUGACGCUGAGGCGCGAAAGCUAGGGGAGCGAACGGGAUUAGAUACCCGAGUAGUCC
rnacentral:rRNA from 1 species